GAUGAACGCUGGCGGCGUGCCUAAUACAUGCAAGUCGAGCGAACAGACGAGGAGCUUGCUCCUCUGACGUUAGCGGCGGACGGGUGAGUAACACGUGGAUAACCUACCUAUAAGACUGGGAUAACUUCGGGAAACCGGAGCUAAUACCGGAUAAUAUAUUGAACCGCAUGGUUCAAUAGUGAAAGACGGUUUUGCUGUCACUUAUAGAUGGAUCCGCGCCGUAUUAGCUAGUUGGGAAGGUAACGGCUUACCAAGGCAACGAUGCGUAGCCGACCUGAGAGGGUGAUCGGCCACCCUGGAACUGAGACACGGUCCAGACUCCUACGGGAGGCAGCAGUAGGGAAUCUUCCGCAAUGGGCGAAAGCCUGACGGAGCAACGCCGCGUGAGUGAUGAAGGUCUUCGGAUCGUAAAACUCUGUUAUUAGGGAAGAACAAAUGUGUAAGUAACUAUGCACGUCUUGACGGUACCUAAUCAGAAAGCCACGGCUAACUACGUG
rnacentral:rRNA from 1 species